UGGGGAAUAUUGCACAAUGGGCGAAAGCCUGAUGCAGCGACGCCGCGUGAGGGAUGACGGCCUUCGGGUUGUAAACCUCUUUCAGCAGGGAAGAAGCGAAAGUGACGGUACCUGCAGAAGAAGCGCCGGCUAACUACGUGCCAGCAGCCGCGGUAAUACGUAGGGCGCAAGCGUUGCCCGGAAUUAUUGGGCGUAAAGAGCUCGUAGGCGGUUAGUCGCGUCUGCUGUGAAAACUCGAGGCUCAACCUCGGGCUUGCAGUGGGUACGGGCUGACUAGAGUGCGGUAGGGGUGACUGGAAUUCCUGGUGUAGCGGUGGAAUGCGCAGAUAUCAGGAGGAACACCGAUGGCGAAGGCAGGUCACUGGGCCGCAACUGACGCUGAGAAGCGAAAGCAUGGGGAGCGAACAGGAUUAGAUACCCUGGUAGUCCAUGCCGUAAACGUUGGGCACUAGGUGUGGGGUCCAUUCCACGGAUUCCGUGCCGCAGCAAACGCAUUAAGUGCCCCGCCUGGGGGAGUACGGCCGCAAGGCUAAAACUCAAAUGAAUUGAC
rnacentral:rRNA from 1 species